ACAUGGUGUUGCCAUGUUUGAUCAUAUUUUCACUGAUCUUUAUGUUGGAUAAACAGUACAAAACAUUUCUACUGAUCGGCUGCAGAAAGAGACUGUGUGGGAGAGGUUUUCUUAUAUCAGCUUGUAUUUGAACACUUUAAUGACAUCUUUGUUGUGGGUUGUGUCUGCACUGUUGGAUGGGGACUGGGACGUCUGCUGCACAAACCACAUCACUAAGGAGAAUGCAACACUUCCAUGUAAGGAAAAUCUCAAUUUGGAAGAGAUCUACGAGAUCAAGAGCUGGUCACCUCUGCACUGUGGAUUGCUGGAAUCCUCUUGGAUGGGGACUGGUUCAUCUGCUGUAGCAACAUCUUCAGUAAAGAGAACUUAACACUUCCAUGCAAGAACCCGGAAGAUCUCAGCGUUGUUGAGAUAGCAAUCAUCUCUGAUAUCAAGAAUCAGUCACUUAAGUGGGGAUUGAUUGUGACCAUAAUCCUCAUCGGUGUACAGUCAAUGGGAACAAUCUUCUUAUCAUGUUUUGAGUCGCGAGGAUGUACUUCUGACAUCAGUGAUUCAAGAUACAGGAUGAUGUAUGAAACCAUACUUUUGAAUGAGACAGAAACCCAAGUAAAAAAGAUGUUUGAAGAUGCAGCUAAGAAAAAUGCAUCUGAGUGGAUUGAGACAUUAAAAAAGAGUCGUCCCUUAAACUGGAACGAAAUUGCUAAAUUUUCUAAUGUAACUAGUGAUGUUUAUUUUCCAUCACUUGGGAUAGAAGAAGAUAAAAAAGAAGAAAACGAAGAAGAAAAUGAAGAAGGAACAGCAUUAAAUACCUUAAAUAAAUAAAUAGCAACAAAACACAAUAUUGAAAAUACAGCUCAAAUAAAAUCUGAUAAAGUUAAUUAAACGCAUUGUGAAAUCUCAAAUUAUUGUGAAUAUAACAGGAGUUAAAAGGUGAUUCCCUGACACAGAGUUUGCAUCAAAUUUUUCAAAAUUUCAUUUUUAAAAACUGUUUAAGCUGUCCUUUUUAGAGCUUGACUUUCAUCAAAAGUCAUAUCUGUUCAUGGAAAAAACUAUGUAACUAACCCUUAACCCUCGUGCUGCCUUCGGGUCACAUGACCCAAAGGUUCAUAACGAACCAUCGUUGUGUUUACCCGAU